AGUCGAGCGGAGUCAUUUUGGAAGCUUGCUUCCAAAAUGACUUAGCGGCGGACGGGUGAGUAACACGUAGGUAACCUGCCUGUAAGACUGGGAUAACUACCGGAAACGGUAGCUAAUACCGGAUAAUUUGUUUCUUCUCAUGAAGAGAUACUGAAAGGCGGAGCAAUCUGCCACUUACAGAUGGGCCUGCGGCGCAUUAGCUAGUUGGUGAGGUAACGGCUCACCAAGGCGACGAUGCGUAGCCGACCUGAGAGGGUGAACGGCCACACUGGGACUGAGACACGGCCCAGACUCCUACGGGAGGCAGCAGUAGGGAAUCUUCCGCAAUGGACGAAAGUCUGACGGAGCAACGCCGCGUGAGUGAUGAAGGUUUUCGGAUCGUAAAGCUCUGUUGCCAGGGAAGAACGCUUGGGAGAGUAACUGCUCUCAAGGUGACGGUACCUGAGAAGAAAGCCCCGGCUAACUACGUGCCAGCAGCCGCGGUAAUACGUAGGGGGCAAGCGUUGUCCGGAAUUAUUGGGCGUAAAGCGCGCGCAGGCGGUCAUUUAAGUUUGGUGUUUAAUCCCGGAGCUCAACUCCGGGUCGCACUGAAAACUGGAUGACUUGAGUACAGAAGAGGAGAGUGGAAUUCCACGUGUAGCGGUGAAAUGCGUAGAUAUGUGGAGGAACACCAGUGGCGAAGGCGACUCUCUGGGCUGUAACUGACGCUGAGGCGCGAAAGCGUGGGGGAGCAAACAGGAUUAGAUACCCUGGUAGUCCACGCCGUAAACGAUGAGUGCUAGGUGUUAGGGGUUUCGAUACCCUUGGUGCCCGAAGUUAACACAUUAAGCACUCCGCCUGGGGAGUACGGUCGCAAGACUGAAACUCAA
rnacentral:rRNA from 1 species